rnacentral:rRNA from 1 species
AUUGAACGCUGGCGGCAGGCCUAACACAUGCAAGUCGAACGCGUGGCGCACGUGUGAGUAAUGUCUGGGAAACCGCCUGAUGGAGGGGGAUCACUACUGGAAACUGUCUCUAAUACCGCAUUCCCUCAGAUGUGCCCAUAUGGGAUUAGCUUGUUGGUGGGGUAACGGCUCACCAAGGCGACGAUCCCUAGCUGGUCUGAGAGUAUUACCAGCCACACUGGAACUGAGACACGGCCCAGACUCCUACGGGAGGCAGCAGUGGGGAAUAUUGCACAAUGGGCGCAAGCCUGAUACAGCCAUGCCGCGUGUAUGAAGAAGGCCCUAGGGUUGUAAAGUACUUUCAGCGGGGAGGCGUUACCCGCAGAAGAAGCACCGGCUAACUCCGUGCCAGCAGCCGCGGUAAUAC